rnacentral:rRNA from 1 species
UACUCCUACGGGAGGCAGCAGUAGGGAAUCUUCCGCAAUGGACGAAAGUCUGACGGAGCAACGCCGCGUGAGUGAUGAAGGUUUUCGGAUCGUAAAGCUCUGUUGUUAGGGAAGAACAAGUGCGAGAGUAACUGCUCGCACCUUGACGGUACCUAACCAGAAAGCCACGGCUAACUACGUGCCAGCAGCCGCGGUAAUACGUAGGUGGCAAGCGUUGUCCGGAAUUAUUGGGCGUAAAGGGCUCGCAGGCGGUUUCUUAAGUCUGAUGUGAAAGCCCCCGGCUCAACCGGGGAGGGUCAUUGGAAACUGGGAAACUUGAGUGCAGAAGAGGAGAGUGGAAUUCCACGUGUAGCGGUGAAAUGCGUAGAGAUGUGGAGGAACACCAGUGGCGAAGGCGACUCUCUGGUCUGUAACUGACGCUGAGGAGCGAAAGCGUGGGGAGCGAACAGGAUAGAUACCCGGGUAGUCCA